rnacentral:rRNA from 1 species
GAUGAACGCUGGCGGCGUGCCUAACACAUGCAAGUCGAGCGAUUUACUUCGGUAAAGAGCGGCGGACGGGUGAGUAACGCGUGGGUAACCUGCCCUGUACACACGGAUAACAUACCGAAAGGUAUGCUAAUACGAGAUAAUAUGCUUUUAUCGCAUGGUAGAAGUAUCAAAGCUUUUGCGGUACAGGAUGGACCCGCGUCUGAUUAGCUAGUUGGUGAGGUAACGGCUCACCAAGGCGACGAUCAGUAGCCGACCUGAGAGGGUGAUCGGCCACAUUGGAACUGAGACACGGUCCAAACUCCUACGGGAGGCAGCAGUGGGGAAUAUUGCACAAUGGGCGAAAGCCUGAUGCAGCAACGCCGCGUGAGCGAUGAAGGCCUUCGGGUCGUAAAGCUCUGUCCUCAAGGAAGAUAAUGACGGUACUUGAGGAGGAAGCCCCGGCGAACUACGG